rnacentral:rRNA from 1 species
CCUACGGGUGGCAGCAGUGGGGGAUAUUGCACAAUGGGGGAAACCCUGAUGCAGCGACGCCGCGUGAGUGAAGAAGUAUUUCGGUAUGUACAGCUCUAUCAGCAGGGAAGAAAAAAGACGGUACCUGACUCAGAAGCCCCGGCUACCUACGUGCCAGCAGCCGCGGUAAUACGUAGGGGGCAAGCGUUAUCCGGAUUUACUGGGUGUAAAGGGAGCGUAGACGGCAAUACAAGUCGGAAGUGAAAUCCCCGGGCUCAACCUGGGAACUGCUUUGGAAACUGUAUGGCUGGAGUGCGGGAGAGGUAAGCGGAAUUCCUAGUGUAGCGGUGAAAUGCGUAGAUAUUAGGAGGAACACCAGUGGCGAAGGCGGCUUACUGGACAGUAACUGACGUUGAGGCUCGAAAGCGUGGGGAGCAAACAGGAUUAGAUACCCGAGUAGUC